UUUGGGGGCCCCCAACCUGAUUGUUGAGGGGCCUGCAUAUAUAAGCAUCUGCAUGUUCCUUUCAGGCAGAAAGUCAAGCCAACUUCAGAUGAUACAAAAUAGGGCAAGAAGACAAUCUCUGUUCCAGGGAGAGAAAGGAUAGGCAACCAGCGGGUACUGGAAAGUGAAUUCACUAGCCACAAUUCAAACAUCGAAUCUUUACAAAUAUGAUUUGCCUACCAGUUUGAAAGGAAGGUCCAAUGUGACAUUUUAUCUUUUUCUCUCCGCAGGCAGCACAGAGAUCUGGGAGAGCUGACUUUGGUAACAAUUCUCACCCUUUGCCAGCUUCUGCCAAUAUUUCAGGAUCCCGUUUGCAAGCUCUGGAGCGAGUGCGGUGUCCCAGUGGAUCUUGUGUCAGAGCCAGCCUGACUCGUGCCGGUUUGGUCCCAGUCUGGGAAAAGAAAUGCUCCAAUGAAGCCUGAAAGCUCCUAAUGGCAAAGCUGCAGGGCUAGGAUGUGUGCUCCAGAAGCAGCGAGACCUCCAGAGGCAGCGAGAAGGCCGCAAGCUCAGGGGGCUCAACAGGUGAGCAUUAUUAUUUCCCCUCUUGAGAUAAGGAUACCCAGGUUCAGAGAAUUUAACUAAUUGACCACGGCCACAUGACUGAAGACAACAGAGCCGGGGUUUGAACCACAAAAUCUUGAUCCAGAGCACCUACGCUCAACUGCCUUGGAAAAAUCUCUACACAUGUGUGCAGGAUUAAGACACAGAGUAUGCCCAGGAUAUAGACACAGAAAUGAAAUUGUUGGAUUACAAAGUGUGAGAAUUUUCCUAAUUUUAAAGUCGUUGUGCCAGCUUCUAUUCUCAAUUCUGUUCUCAUGAGUGUUUGAGGCUCCAGUCACUUUUCUGAGCUUACCGUCACAGUGUUAUGUCUGAUCUAAAUUGGUCGUCUACUUGCUGAUCCCUUGAAGCCUAGGAGGUCUGUGCCUUCAGCUCCACUUAUUAAAUAAAGUUUUGUUUCAUUUUAGUUUUGUUCUUUUUUGAGCAUGACCAUCUUUAAAAUUUUUAUUUUAUAUUUAGUCUUAAUUGUUACAUUGUUUAAGGAGAGAGCAUUCUCAAAACAUGA